AGCAUUUUUUGUUAAAUUAUAAGUUUAGUCUUAAAGCUCGAGUUUUGUGUCUGUGAAACACCCUCGAGAUGGUUUGAAACAAAAGUCCCGUCUCCCUUCUAAAACGUCGAGAAAACUCUACAAGCUUCCCCUUCGCUCUAUAUAGAAAUGCUUGUCCAUUCUUCUAAACACGUCUUGGUCUUAGAGCAAGAACUUCGGCUUCCCUACUAUUAGGAACCACUUUUCUCAGCAGCACACAGCAUGUAAAUCUUCUUCAAAUUCAGCUCUACAAGGAACACCGUAGUUCUUCUUCUUCUUCGGCUGCCGCCUCCGCCACGGUCGCCGCCGCUGCUCCUCCUCUGAAAAUGGGUGUUUUUUGUUUCUCUCAGUUCAGAGCUCAAUUUGGCUGACUUGUGAAACAUGUAGACAAAGGGAAUGGUGAGGCACACAGGGCAAAGCCAGGCACUUAAAACGCUGUGUUUCAGUAUAAUUAACAUCAUCAACACACAAAAAGGUGAGUUUCUUAUACAAAUUAAUGAGUUGUUAACUGGGAAUGACAAUAAAUGAGGUUUAGAAUCCCAAAGUUUGUUCCUUUUUCUCUGUGUUUGUGUUGUUUUUUGAUGCUUUUAUGAGCCAUUAUGAUGAGGCUUUCAAGCAGCUUAUGAACAAAAGCUUAUUGCAUUUAUUAUAGAAGUUCCUGUCUUUCUUUCUUUC